rnacentral:lncRNA from 1 species
UUAACCUUAAACAUCCAUGAAAGAAACUUUAUAUCGUGCGAGUAUAAUACAAAUCUUUUAGCUUUAGUUUGAGGAAAUUCUUUUAUUAUGUAAAUUUAAAACUAUUUUUUAAAUGAAAAUUUAAAAUAAAAUAGCCUUUGAACUCAUAAAAUCCACCUUUGUAAAAGCUGGCAUGUGGAUCAAAAAAUAUGGGGGCACAAAAGCAGUUGUCCCUGGCAAUGAUAGGCUAUCAACAGCCCAUCCCCAUGCAGAAUGACUAACCUGCUAAAAUCAUUCUUAUCAACUUAUACAAAUAAGCAGAUAGAGUUCUAAUCAAUUGCCAGCAUUUCCAUGUAUUUUUUUUUCUUGGGACCUGAAUAUUUAUCCAUACUUUUUUCCUCUCUAUUUUGUAGAAGAGUCUGGGAAUAAUUUAGCUAGAGAUUCCUUAUUCCUUUGGAAACCAGGGCUGCAAACUUGUAUUUUAAAGCUGUGAAAAAUGUAAUGUAUUAUAAGCACUGAAAUUUUUGUUCAAGUUGAUAUUUUCAAAACGAAGUUUCCAUUGUAGUAAAAACUUUCCAUCGUGAGGUAGCAAAAUGUCAUUAUUUGUAAUAAGCAAAAAAGAGAAGCCUUUGUUUUGGCUUAAAAUUCAAUACAAGUAGGUGGGAUCAUUCUAAAAUGCAUGGAAGUAGCAUUCAACAAAAUAUGCUGGUAAUGAUGGUGCAAUGAAAUUCCCUACAUGAGGAUCAGUCAAUCAGCCAUCUCAUCUCUGUGUCUUGCUUUCCCUGCUGCAUGAAUGCAGACCAUCCAUGAAACCAGCUCCCACACCAUUAUAGUGGACUCUUUGUAGGCUGUUUGUUGGGGCGGGUGUGUAUAGCGAGAGAUGUCUAUGCAUUUACACCAGUGUGUCGGUGUUCAGUUUAGGUGCAUGCCAUACAUUGCUGCUGCCACAGAUGGAUAUGCAAGAGCAGAAAAUGCAGCUGGAGGGUUUCAGAUGCCUCAGUCCAGUGAGCCCUGGGCGUUUCCCAGGUUCAUGUCGUUGCAGAACCCCUGCAAGGAAUACACUCCUGAUUGUUUUAUUUACAUCCUACAAGGAAGCUUCUUCAGACCCACACUUGCUGCUUCAUUUCAUCAUCAAGUGCUACCUGCAAACUCUGGAAGUGAAGCCAUGUUAGGUGGAAGCUUGGGAAGCUUUCAACAUAUGAUUUACAGUAAUGCACCAUGA